GAUGAACGCUGGCGGCGUGCCUAAUACAUGCAAGUCGAGCGAAUGGAUUAAGAGCUUGCUCUUAUGAAGUUAGCGGCGGACGGGUGAGUAACACGUGGGUAACCUGCCCAUAAGACUGGGAUAACUCCGGGAAACCGGGGCUAAUACCGGAUAACAUUUUGAACCGCAUGGUUCGAGAUUGAAAGGCGGCUUCGGCUGUCACUUGUGGAUGGACCCGCGUCGCAUUAGCUAGUUGGGGAGGUAACGGCUCACCAAGGCAACGAUGGGUAGCCGACCUGAGAGGGUGAUCGGCCACCCUGGGACUGAGACACGGCCCAGACUCCUACGGGAGGCAGCAGUAGGGAAUCUUCCGCAAUGGACGAAAGUCUGACGGAGCAACGCCGCGUGAGUGAUGAAGGCUUUCGGGUCGUAAAACUCUGUUGUUAGGGAAGAACAAGUGCUAGUUGAAUAAGCUGACACCUUGACGGUACCUAACCAGAAAGCCACGGCUAACUACGUGCCAGCAGCCGCGGUAA
rnacentral:rRNA from 1 species